AACGAACGCUGGCGGCAGGCCUAACACAUGCAAGUCGAGCGCCCAGCAAUGGGAGCGGCGGACGGGUGAGUAACGCGUGGGAAUUUUUCCUGGAGUACGGAACAACCGAGGGAAACUUCGGCUAAUACCGUAUGAUAUCGAGAGAUCAAAGAUUUAUCGCUCUGGGGUGAGCCCGCGUCAGAUUAGGUAGUUGGUGGGGUAACGGCCUACCAAGCCUGCGAUCUGUGGCUGGUCUGAGAGGACGAUCAGCCACACUGGGACUGAGACACGGCCCAGACUCCUACGGGAGGCAGCAGUGGGGAAUCUUGCGCAAUGGGCGAAAGCCUGACGCAGCCAUGCCGCGUGAGUGAAGAAGGUCUUAGGAUUGUAAAGCUCUUUUGUGCGGGAAGAUAAUGACGGUACCGCAAGAAUAAGCCCCGGCUAACUUCGUGCCAGCAGCCGCGGUAAUACGAAGGGGGCUAGCGUUGCUCGGAAUCACUGGGCGUAAAGGGUGCGUAGGCGGGUCUUUAAGUCAGGGGUGAAAUCCUGGAGCUCAACUCCAGAACUGCCUUUGAUACUGAAGAUCUUGAGUUCGGGAGAGGUGAGUGGAACUGCGAGUGUAGAGGUGAAAUUCGUAGAGAUCGGAAGGAACAUCAGUGGCGAAGGCGGCCACCUGGCCUAAUACUGACGCUGAGGCACGAAAGCGUGGGGAGCAAACAGGAUUAGAUACCCUGGUAGUCCACGCUGUAAACGAUGUCAACUAGCUGUUGGUCACAUUGAUGUGAUUAGUAGCGCAGCAAACGCGAUAAGUUGACCGCCUGGGGAGUACGGUCGCAAGAUUA
rnacentral:rRNA from 1 species